UAAGUACAGAGCAAAAAGACUUCCCCCCCCCCCAAACGAUAAAUCUGUUUUAUUCGGCCCACUGAUUUUUAAGAGCCUGUAGGUCCAAUUCAGUCCUGCUAUGAGCAUACAUAAUUCUGGUGAAGUCAGACAGUUGCAGCUAUUUAUCCCAGGGCUGAAUUUGUCCCUGCAUCCCAAAACCUUGGGAUUUUCCUUUCCAAUUCCAGCCCCUUCCUCCUCCCCCGCAAAUGACUGAUAGGUUCCAAACCUUUUAUAUAUAUUAAGUGGCAAUUUCCUCAUAUUAGCUGUGAGGCAGGGAGGGAAGCUUUCUGGGCAAAAGUAAGCCUGCUUUGCUCUGAGUUGUAAAUGCCGGAUGCUCCAAUACAACAAAGUACAUCAUCAAAAGUUAAGAUUCUGCAGCUGCUAAAUUCAGUGCCCCAGCUCUGUUAUGGAAUUCCAAAAGACAAGUGAUCUCCUUGCCAUAUAUUUGCUAAAGAAAAAAAAACACCAGGGGACAGAUGUUUCCUGUAGACCUAACCAUCUUAGAAGAGGAUCCAAGAGAAAACCAAGAACACAGAAUCCCAGCAUGGGAAGGAGAAGGAAAGUACUGCCUUAAAAUCGACAUACUGCCAGAUGUAGUGCAUUUUAACAUUGAUAUGAACUUGUUCACACUUGUCAAAUCAUACUGUGCUUGCUAAUGUUGCAUUUUAAUCAAAUACAUUAGCCGUCUCUCUCUUUCCACUGUUUAGCAAACCUCUUUCCUUCAUUUCUCCUCUCAUCCCUCCCUUCAUUCUUUGUUCUUUUUCUGCCUGUCUCUUCCCACCUGAGUCUUUGUCUCCCCUUUCUUCCCCCCCCCCAAAAAACCCCUCAAUCCCACCUAAUCUGCAAUUUACAAAACACUUAAGUUAGACUGGUGCCUGCCUGGAGGAAUUUAUAAUCUAAAUUUGAUAUACUCAGUACAGGCCAUAAAGAGGCUGAUAAGCAAGAGUGGGGGCAGCUCGUUGUUAAUCAGCAAUGGGAGGAUACAUGAAACAAGUGGUUUUUUAAAGGACAGAUUUGCAGAAGACAGUUGUGGGAGGGAUGCUGUUCCAGGGGUUAGCAGCUGGUGUUAAAAAAGGCAUGGAGACAAGACUAGAAGAAAGUGAUGACACGGAGAGCAGCUUGGGCAGGGCAUUAGGAUGCAGAUGAGAUGACAGUAGAGGUGGAGAUCUUCAAAGGUAAGGCUGAGAAGCUUGAAUCUGCUGUGGAAAGAGAGAUGAGGCUAGUGAAGGGAUUUGAAAGGGAAUGGCUUGGUCAGAGUAA